AAAAUUUAAUUACUUGUAACUUUGUGUAGACAUGGUCGAUUGUUUCCAUUUUUGGACGUAAAGACUAAAGUUCUUUGUAGAGUAAAUAAGGAAGAUCUGAGCCUUCCUACUUUAAUAAUUUCCGAGCAACGAGCAAAAACCAAAGAUUUUUGUUAAAAAAAACGGAUUUUGGAUCAGUUUACGCUCCACUGGCCCAUUUUCCAUAAAAAUCUGUGCAAAAUUUCCAAUGUUUUUACCAGGAGAGUUCCAACAUCCAGACACACGGACGGACAUGGAGAGACAUGGAGAGGAGAACUAGCAACGAACUUGUCCCAAGGAAUUGUGGGCUUACUUUGCAAUGUAGUUGGGUAGCUAAUUUUAAACCCUAAUGGAGCAAUUUGUUCGGGAGCCAGUUUCAUCCCCUCUUAUAUAAAUAUUACCAGCCGAUUUAUUUGCUUUAUAGACUCCGUUGUUCUAUGUAAAGAAUUACCUAAACUAUGUACUUUCACGUGGCCCAGACUAUGAUAACAGCGAUCGGAAGGACUUUGCGGAACCAGCAUGGCAGAACCACCACUAAAAAUAAAAAUUUUUGCUCAGGUUCAUCUGUAUGUAAGUCCGGUCUUCACAAUUCUGAGAGAGCGUUUCUGGAACCCCUUCUGCAUACAUACAGCUAAAAGGGUCGAAACUUGAACAUAAAACUUAGGACUCUCUACAAACUGUUAAAACUGUCGGUUGACAAACUGCCUACCGCUGUCCGUAAUAAGUACUUUGGGUGCCACAAAUCUGGAUAUAAUCCCCUCUCUGAAUGCCGUCAUCAGUGCCGAGGUAGGAAUUUCGGUUUAUUUGGUGAAUCGGUCUAUCAUCACCAAGACUACAGUGUGUUCCGCGUUGGAUUUCGGUAGCCGGCCAACAAAAUCUGCGCUGACCGUACUCCAGCACACUUGUAGCAGUUGAAUCAGCAUCUAGCCUGCAUGCUUCUGUUGCCUGACUUUCUUACAGUGAGCCUGACAAUGGUCACGUUAUAAUUUGGUAUGCAUUGGGACAAUGGAGUCGGAAAAUUGGUAUUUACGGGCAGCAUUGUAAGCAAAGAGGAUGUUUUAAGGAUGUGAAAGAAAAAUUUGAAAGAAAGAGCGGAUAAACUAGGUUUUUUGGAAACAUUCAAAUUCUUCGAAGAUAACGCACACAAGGGUAAAUCCCGCUUAAUUCAAGAUUUGCUGUUGUAUAACUGUCGCAAAGUGCUUCAACCUCUUCCACAGGUCACCAGGUAUAAACCCUUUUGAAAAUAAGUGGGAUGAAUUGGACCGCCAUACGUGAAAACACUCAAUCCCUUGCGCC